CUCAGUCCCCCCCUCUGUCUGUCUGUCUGUCUGUCUGAUUUUGUUACAUUAGAGAGUUUCCCAGCCUUGCAGCCUCCAUCUCCCAUUCUCUCAGUCUCCCCCUCUGUCUGUCUGUCUGUCUGUCUGAUUUUGUUACAUUAGAGAGUUUUCCCAGCUUUGCAGCCUCCAUCUCUCAUUCUCUCAGUCCCCCCCCCCCUGUCUGUCUGUCUGAUUUUGUUACAUUAGAGUUUCCCAGCUUUGCAGCCUCCAUCUCCCAUUCUCUCUGCCUCUCCCUCCUCCUGU